UGGGGGAUUUUGCACAAUGGGCGCAAGCCUGAUGCAGCGACGCCGCGUGAGGGAUGAAGGCCUUCGGGUUGUAAACCUCUUUCGCUGGGUUGAAAGGCCAUGCUUUGGGUGUGGUUGAUUUGAACUGGUAAAGAAGUACCGGCUAACUACGUGCCAGCAGCCGCGGUAAUACGUAGGGUACUAGCGUUGUCCGGAUUUAUUGGGCGUAAAGGGCUUGUAGGUGGUUUGUCGCGUCUGUCGUGAACUCCUGUGGCUUAACCAUGGGCUUGCGGUGGGUACGGGCAGGCUUGAGUGCGGUAGGGGAGACUGGAAUUCCUGGUGUAGCGGUGGAAUGCGCAGAUAUCAGGAGGAACACCGGUGGCGAAGGCGGGUCUCUGGGCCGUUACUGACACUGAGGAGCGAAAGCGUGGGGAGCGAACAGG
rnacentral:rRNA from 1 species